UACGUAGGGACCAAGCGUUGUUCGGAUUUACUGGGCGUAAAGGGCGCGUAGGCGGCGUGGCAAGUCACUUGUGAAAUCUCCGGGCUUAACUCGGAACGGCCAAGUGAAACUGCCAUGCUAGAGUGCAGAAGGGGCAAUCGGAAUUCUUGGUGUAGCGGUGAAAUGCGUAGAUAUCGGAAGGAACAUCAGUGGCGAAAGCGGCUUCCUGGACCAGUACCGACGUUCAGGCACGAAGGCGUGGGGAGCAGACAGG
rnacentral:rRNA from 1 species